ensembl:lncRNA
GGAGGAUGUCGACGAGAGCAGCAAGCUGACCAUGAGCGAGAAGCUGGCCCUGUUCAACAAACUCUCCCUGCAGAGGGACUGCCCUGCUGACGGGCCCCCAGAGAGACGAAGGCAGAAGGGGGCUCGGUACCGAACGCAGCCCAUUACUGUGGAGGAGGUCAGCCUGCUCCAAAAAGGCCCUGUGCAGCUUCCCGGCUUCUGUUUGUCCUCUCAUCUGUCGGACAGACAGCAGGCCUCGUCUGUCAACCUCAAACCCAGUGAGAUCCGCUUUUCCCAACCGAGAACCGACACUGGUCCUGAGCCCGGUGGCUCUACCCAGCAGAGCCUCGAGCACCACGACUCUGAGCCAGUCUUGAGAGGAAUCCUGAAGAAGAGCUGCUCCGGAGUCUCACAGUGGAGCAGGAAGGAGAACGGCCAGACGGACGCACCUUCCGGCCACGAACAGAAUGGUGGCGGCUGUGAAGAAGCGGCGAUGCAAUUGAGGAGGGGGAGCGCAGAGCUGCAGGAAAUGUCUGCUGCAGCACCACGGAGAGAGAGAGUACAGGCUCCAGGUGGGGAGGGAGGCUCACUGGCUGCCACUCCCUGGAGGCAGAGGGCUCGAAUCAGGAGGGAAACCAUUACCUGUACACCGAUAAGAGCCUCGUCGGAGCAGGACGCUCCUCAGGAGGAGAGGUCCUGCCAGACAAAGCUGCCGGUACAGCUGGUUUCCUCUGUGGAUCACAGCUCGGAUACAACUGGGAGAGUUCGACGGCCGAAUGAGGAAGAGGGUGUGAGGAGGAUGAAUAAGGAAACGACGGCCGCGGGACAAGUUCAGGUCACACUGGUAGAUGGCAACGUUAAACUGCAGGAGGCAACCAACACCAGCAGAAGUAAGGAAGAGGCAGAACACCUUCACGUGGAGAGUGUCAAUCCUCACUGCUGGAGAAAUCUGUCUUUUGAGGCACAAGAAGUCUCCUCUUCUCCCAAAGACCGGAUUCCGCCUCAGCGGAGACAGAAGAGGGCGGAGGAUGAGAUGGACGAAGUUGAGGAAAUGAAUACAGAGCAGGAAAGUAAGGCGCAAGGGAUGAACAAGAGAGGAUCUCCAGAAUCAGAUGGAAAUGACACAUAUCAUAACGAGGAACACUGUGAAGCUCCAACAUGCUCAUAUGAAGGUCGGAGCUGCAUGAAUAACACUUUAAAAAAAAAUGUUUUUAUUGUUUGGUUCUCUUUAAACCGUUCGCUCUAUUUGCUUAACAGAAACCCCCACGCAGUCUUUGGAGUUUGA